CUUGUAUCUUUCUUCACUGGUCCUCAUCACAUGUACAUGCUGAUCUGAAGUGGGUAUUGUUUUCAUUUUCUUUUUAGUGGCAGGGUUUUUGUUUGUUUGUUUGUGUUUUUACAGAGGUCUUGCAAGGUAGACUAGCAAGUUGUCAGAAUUCUUUAAAACAGCAGUUGCUCAUCGCUUAAGAAGAGGUAAAAUCAUGUAGGAAGAAGUUGGAAAGUAUAAUAAAGGAAGUUAAAAGAAUCUCUGCUCUCAUGGCAAAUAGCCAUAGGAAACAAAAGCCAAGGACGGCUAUGCUGAAAGAAAAGAGUUUGAUUACAUUAAUCUUGCUAAUUUUUAAUUAACUUAAUAAUAAAACCCAAAUUACAGGGAAAAAAAAGAAUCUGGGAUGUAAAUAACAUCAAUACUCGAAACAGAAUGGUCUUCUGUGAUGUCUGUGAAGUAGCCAGGCAGUUGGAAGCAAUUAACUACCCAUGGAUGGCAUGUCCAGCUGUUGCUUAUGUAUGGAAACAGAAGAAAAAUUAGAUUUAAUUGGUUUAGCAUAACGAAUCCAUCAGAUAUACCAGUGUUGUCCCAUCUUGCAUCUGGUCUGAUUGUAGCCCACCUGGAUCCAGCUGUGGCAUACACAGCAGAUGACACCUAGGCAGCAGCAGAAGACACUCAGUAUGUUUUUUAGUGUGGGGGUUUUCAGCUGGUAAGAAAUACUCAUUGGGCCACAGAUAGCCAAAUCAAGAGAGAAUAUCCAACAGAAGACAGAAGCCUGUCAGAACUUUGAUGGCCAAAGAUUCACUCCACACUUUGUUGCACCACUUUAUUUACAAGCCUUCGUUUAAAUACAUCUUUUUUUAAUAUUGUGUACUCCUAUUUGGACCAUCUUUGCAGCAUCAACCUAUCCAUAAAGUCCCCUAACACAGCAAGCCACUAUUCUGCAAUUAGACUCCAUUUACAGACAAUAUUUCUAUCCAGACUGCCACAGAAGUCAGUGGGAGUCCAGAAAUAUAUUUUCUGACCAUAGGAUCAAGUUUCAGUUUCAAGAUAUUAAAACAUGAAUGAUAUUUAUGUAAGUCUCCCUCUCUACUGAAACCUGUCAUGAAACAAAAGAAGCCUCUUGUCUCCUCUAGGAACUCUGCAGUGUCAUACAACAGUCUUGUACUAGGAUACAAUGUAAAUAAUUGCAGUCUCAUUUAACAAAAAGGAAAAAUAGAAAAACAGAAAAGGAAAAGGAAGUGUGAAAAGGGGAAAGGGAGUAAAAGACAGGGAAAGUGAGGGGAG
rnacentral:lncRNA from 1 species